rnacentral:rRNA from 1 species
CCUUAGAUGUUCUGGGCCGCACGCGCGUUACACUGACUAAUUCAGCAAGUUUUAUCCUUGGCCGACAGGUCUGGGUAAUCUUUUGAAAGUUAGUCGUGCUGGGGACAGAAGCUUGUAAUUAUUCUUCUCGAACCAGGAAUGCCUAGUAAGCGCAAGUCAUCAACUUGCGCUGAUUACGUCCCUGCCCUUUGUACACACCGCCCGUCGCUCCUACCGAUUGAAUGGUCCGGUGAGAACUUUGGAUGGCGGGUCCCCGGCGGCCGCAAGGUCGUUUGGUGCCAUGUCAGAAAUCGUUCAAACCUUACCAUUUAGAGGAAGGAGAAGUCGUAACAAGGUU